rnacentral:tRNA from 2 species
GGAGUCGUGGCAGAGCGGUUGAAUGCACCGGUCUUGAAAACCGGCAAGGGUUCAUAGCCCUUCGUGAGUUCGAAUCUCACCGACUCCGCCA